GUUUCUGGCCCUGCCAGUGUCUCCGCCGGUUGAAAGCGCGUGUCUGCGUCGGGUUCUGUUGGAGUGCGUUCGGUGCGCCGUGGGUCCGCGCUGCUUCCACCCAACUUCCUGUUAGUUUCUCUCCUGUCACAAUGGCAUGAUCUCGGCUCACUGCGACCUCUGCUUCCUGGGUUCAAGGAUUCUCCUGCCUCAGCCUCCCAAGUAGCUGGGAUUACAGUUUCCAUCAUUAUCUUCUAUGGAGUUCUUCAUUCCCACAUCUGUGGACCUUAAAAUCCUACCGUUGAGUGCCUGCCUUGGAUCAGCAGUCAGUUCGUUACCUUGGUUCUCAGACGAUGCUUGCAACAACGCCAUGCGAUUCGCCCACUCUUGGAGAAAAUAAGAGAAGUAUCCCUGAAGGAUGAAAUAUCCUCGAAUAUGAAAAGGUCUGCUCUCUGAAGACCAACUGUCUCAGUCUGCUUUUUGCUGCUGUAACAGAAUACCACAGACUUGGUUACAUUAGUUAUACACUCUGGAGGUGACUUGACCUGUCAUUGUGAACAAUUAUUGCUCU
rnacentral:lncRNA from 10 species